rnacentral:misc_RNA from 1 species
GAUGAAGAACGUAGCAAAAUGCGAUAAGUAAUGUGAAUUGCAGAAUUCAGUGAAUCAUCGAAUCUUUGAACGCACAUUGCGCCCGCUGGUAUUCCGGCGGGCAUGCCUGUUCGAGCGUCAUUUCAACCCUCAAGCCCCCGGGUUUGGUGUUGGGGAUCGGCUCUGCCCUUCUGGGCGGUGCCGCCCCCGAAAUACAUUGGCGGUCUCGCUGCAGCCUCCAUUGCGUAGUAGCUAACGCCUCGCAACUGGAACGCGGCGCGGCCAUGCCGUAAAACCCCAACUUCUGAAUGUUGACCUCGGAUCAGGUAGGAAUACCCGCUGAACUUAAGCAUAUCAAUAAGCGGAGGA